GCCAGACUCCUACGGGAGGCAGCAGUGGGGGAUAUUGCACAAUGGGGGGAACCCUGAUGCAGCGACGCCGCGUGGGUGAAGGAGCACCUCGGUGCGUAAAGCCCUAUCGGCAGGGAAGAAAAGCGAACAGGUUCGCCUGGACGGUACCUGACUAAGAAGCCCCGGCUAACUACGUGCCAGCAGCCGCGGUAAUACGUAGGGGGCAAGCGGUAUCCGGAUUCACUGGGUGUAGAGGGAGCGUAGACGGCGGCGCAAGUCUGGAGUGAAAGCCCGGGGCCCAACCCCGGGACUGCUCUGGAAACUGCGGCGCUGGAGUACGGGGGGGGCAGGCGGAAUUCCUGGUGUAGCGGUGAAAUGCGUAGAUAUCAGGAGGAACACCGGCGGCGAAGGCGGCCUGCUGGACCGUAACUGACGUUGAGGCUCGAAAGCGUGGGUAUCGAACAGGAUUAGAUACCCGGGUA
rnacentral:rRNA from 1 species